GAUGAAGAACGUAGCGAAAUGCGAUACGUAAUGUGAAUUGCAGAAUUCAGUGAAUCAUCGAGUCUUUGAACGCACAUUGCGCCCCCUGGUAUUCCGGAGGGCAUGCCUGUCCGAGCGUCAUUGCUGCCCUCAAGCACGGCUUGUGUGUUGGGCCCCGCCCCCCGAUCCCGGGGGGCGGGCCCGAAAGGCAGCGGCGGCACCGCGUCCGGUCCUCGAGCGUAUGGGGCUUUGUCACCCGCUCUGUAGGCCCGGCCGGCGCUUGCCGAUCAACCAAACUUUUUUCCAGGUUGACCUCGGAUCAGGUAGGGAUACCCGCUGAACUUAAGCAUAUCAAUAAGCGGAGGA
rnacentral:misc_RNA from 1 species